UACGUAGGUGGCUAGCGUUGUCCGGAUUUACUGGGCGUAAAGAGCGCGCAGGCGGUCGUUCAAGUCGAGUGUGAAAGCCCCCGGCUCAACUGGGGAGGGUCACUCGAUACUGAUCGACUCGAAGGCAGGAGAGGGAAGCGGAAUUCCCGGUGGAGUGGUGAAAUGCGUAGAUAUCGGGAGGAACACCAGUGGCGAAGGCGGCUUUCUGGCCUGCUCUUGACGCUGAGGCGCGAAAGCUAGGGUAGCAAACGGG
rnacentral:rRNA from 1 species